GAUGAACGCUGGCGGCGUGCCUAAUACAUGCAAGUCGAGCGAACGGACGAUAAUCUUGCUUCUCUGAUGUUAGCGGCUGACGUGUGUUUAACACGUGUUUAACCUACCUUUUAUUCUUGUAUAACUUCUUGAAACCGGUUCUUAUACCGGAUAAUAUUUUGAACCUCAUUGCUCUAAAGUGAUAUACGGUCUUUCUUUCUCUUAUAGAUGUUUCCGCGCUGCAUUAGCUAGUUGGUAAGGUAACGGCUUACCAAGGCAACGAUGCAUAUCCGACCUGAGAGGGGGAUCGGCAAAACUGGAAGUGAGAAACGGUAAAGAGGACUACGGGAGGCAGCAGUAGGGAAUAGUCCGAAAUGGGCGAAAGCAUGACGGAGCAACGCCGCGUGAGUGAAGAAGGUCUUAGGAUCGUAAAACUCUGUUAUUAGGGAAGAACAUAUGUGUAAGUAACUGUGCACAAAGUGACGGUAACUAAUCAGAAAGCAACGGCUAACUACGUG
rnacentral:rRNA from 1 species